UUCUGGGCCUCGGGUUCGCUUC
rnacentral:miRNA from 1 species